rnacentral:lncRNA from 1 species
CCAUUUCCCCAUUUUAAUUUUUUAAAAUUACUAGUAAAUAAAUUAUAAAUUAUAAAUUAUAAAUUAUAAAAUUAUAAAUAUUGGUAAAAAUAAAAAAUAUCAAAAUAUUUAUAUUAUUAAACUUUUAGGCCUAAUUAACUAAUUAAAGUCCUAAAUUUUUAUUUAGGACAUUAAAAAGACUGAGUAGAUUCUAAUAGCUAAACAUUUUUUUUAAUUUUAAUAUUCUUUAAAUAUUUUAAACUUAAAUCUAUUUUUUAUUUAUUUUUAGAUGUUAUAAUUGCCCACAAUGAAUCACAAUUUUAAUAUCUAAUCUAAUUUAAUCUAAUAUUUGCUUUUGAUUUGCUCUGAUUUAACUAUUGUGUUGUAAAGAGAAUAGUCAACAUUUAUAAAGUGCCCAUGCCACCAUUGAAAAAGUUAAUUUUGAAUCUAAAUUCGAUUUUAUUUGUAACAAUUUUGUAUUAGACUAUUAAUUUGUUCAUGAUAGUUUGCAAAAGAAGUUUGUAUCCCUUGCAUGUUGCGUUACUUACUAAUUUAAUGUAUGUGACUUUUGUAAUAGAUAUUAAUGUAAGAUAUAUUUCGAACUUUACUUUUAUUUGAAUUUUUUAUUUUAAUAUGAUUAACUCAAAAUCGAAAAAAAAUGUAUUAAUUAUUCGGGGAUCGGGGACCCUCGGGGAUCCCCUGUUAUUAUUCGGGGAGGGGAUGGGGAUUCUCUCAAGUAAUUCUGACGGGGACGGGGAGGGGACGGGGACAUACGCAAAAUAUCGGGGAUGGGUACGGGGAGAUCGGUCCCCUCCCCUCCCCUCCCCAUUGCCAUCUUCCCAAAAAUAAAUAUAAUUAAUCUAUUAAAAAUAAAGAAAAAGAGAAAUGAGUUAUUUUAAAUUUGAAGAGUUUGCGUUUGGCCAAAUGACAAUAUCUUUUUACCAAUUAUAAGUGCAUUUCCCUACUGAACACAUCUUAUCAUCUUCCGUAUCGAAAAAUAAAUUGCUCCAUUAUUUUUUCUCAUGUGAAAAUCUCUAUUUUAUGUUAUAUUUCAUUUUCUUAUCCAUUGGUUCUAAAAUCCUUGUGAAGGUAUAAAUUGGCCCAUAGAUUUUAGUCUAUUGAAUUUUCUUCUCCCCAGUUUUGAUCCACGAGAAUUUAUCACUUCUUAUAUAUUUUUGUGGUGAUUAUUGCUAGAUCUGAAACUUUUACAUCUUAAACCUUAGAGUUUAUUUUGGUUUGUAGGUCAUUGGUUGUGUGUAUUCUACAUCUGAAAUUUUUGUACUUUACAUCUAGAUAAUAAGAUAAAGGUGGAUUAUUUUUAUGCUCGACAUAAUAUUCCCACUAUUAUUGUUGAUUUUUCUAAUUGAUAUAAUCAUACCAAUGCGCAAGAUUUAUUAGUAACGUUGGUAUGCUUAAUAAUUAAUGGUUUAAGGAAUUAUUUACUGCAUUUGGUUUUACAUUUUUAAUCUUUGUUCCAUUGUUAUCAUCUCAUCAUCGUUGGCAUCGUUAUCAUUUUAUUCUCUACAACACUAAGUAUGCUGUAGACUACAUUAGUGUUGUGGCAUUGUACUGUUAAGUCGUAGUUGGUUAUUGUGAAAUGAAAAUUUUAAUUAUAAAAUAAAAGUUGAUAAUA